rnacentral:rRNA from 1 species
ACGUCUACAUUAGAUACCCGUGUAGUCCCAGCCGUAAACUAUGCGCGUUAGGUGUAUCGGUGACCACGAGUUACCGAGGUGCCGAAGGGAAACCGUGAAACGUGCCGCCUGGGAAGUACGGUCGCAAGGCUGAAACUUAAAGGAAUUGGCGGGGAGCACCACAACGGGUGGAGCCUGCGGUUUAAUUGGACUCAACGCCGGGAAGCUCACCGGAUAAGACAGCGGAAUGAUUGCCGGGCUGAAGACUCUGCAUGACUAGCUG